GCUCCAAUAGCGUAUAUUAAAGUUGUUGCAGUUAAAAAGCUCGUAGUUGGAUUUCAAGGAGUGGCUCACGCAAGUGAGUACCUUCUACCAGUCUUAGACUGUUACUGUGAGAAAAUUAGAGUGUUUCAAGCAGGCUUUUGCAGGAAUACAUUAGCAUGGAAUAACGAAUGUGUCUAGAAUCUUGGUUAAUUCUAGAUUAC
rnacentral:rRNA from 1 species